UGCCCCAACACAGUAAAUAUAUAUAUAUAUAUAUUAUACAAUUAAUAUACAAUAAACAAUUGUAUAUUAAAUAAUAUACAAUUUCCAAUUCACACAAACAUGUAUUAGCUGCUGAAUUUUGAUUGAUAGAUAACCAUUUUGAUGAGCAAGCCAAAUGAAAUUUGAUGAGAUGUGAGCAAAUGUAGCCAGUAUAAGCAUACCAUAUUUCAAGUUUUAUCCUAGCAGUUCCUGAGAUAUUGAAUUGUGUCAGCAUCAAUAGCACAAUGGCCAAAUGUUACCACAGACACAGAUACAGUAGGUAACAAUUACAUUGCUAUAGAUUGAAAUCCCUGACCCCACUCCAUAACAAAGAGAAACCUGUACUCACCCAAUAGAGGUUCAUCCUACAGGCCUUGCACUCAUUAACAACAUUACUCAUGUCCAAAUGCCUGGAUCUGCGGUUCACUAUUGAGAGUGAAGUCUUCUUGUUCCAUGCUGCUCCUGAAAUAAGACUUCAUCUGCUUAAGCCUAGCAGUACUCAUUCUGUUCUCUGUUUUCCUUCUUCGUUUCAACGCCACUUUCUUUUUUGGUUUGGGUUUAUUAUUUUUGCUGCUAAUUUAUCGUCAAUUUACUGGAGAACACUUGCUUCCUGCUAAAAGGUUGAGAAAAAAAUGUAUGUCAACAACUUCCUUCUUAUGAGAAGAAAACAGCCAAAUUAAAUAAGUGGUGGGUAGAAAUAGUAUGUAUUUUAAUACAAUGUGAAGUUCUGGAACAUAUCAAUAAGGACAAGUGAAAAAACAUACAUGUUUUGACUCAAAACUGUAGAUGUAGGCUAAUAUACAAGGUGGUAAGGUGAUACAUCUAUCACAAUUGCAGAGAGGCUAAUGGUAGUGAUAUCGUUGAAUGUUUACUUUGAAGACCGUGUGAAGCAGUGAGUGGUGCGAGGUGGCCCACCUACAGUUGUAGGCAGUUAAGACGCUUUGGGCCCCCCAAUAGCCUCUGGGGCCCGGUCAAAGCAUGUCAUGUUUUUUUUGUUGCUUAACAUAUAAUUUCAUAAGCCUAUUGAUUUCCACCCAUUAUCUGAAAACUGUGUUGUAAUAUGAACUACAAAGAAACGUUUUUUUUUUUUUUUUUGCUUCCUUAGACGUAGGCCAUUAUGCCCAUAUAAACCGUGCCUAAAGGUUUACUCUUGAGGAUUACAAGAGCUGUAUUAUUUUCUCCAUAUAAACUGGCAUUGUAAAGAGAUAUGCUAUGGAUAGUGGUUUCAUUUCAGACAUACCUAUUCUGGCUUUUGCACCAUUAAUGUACCUUUGUGUAAACCUGUAUUUUGGGGAGUAGGCUAAUUAUGAGGUUUAAUGUCGUUUGGCUCUGCAUUUGCAAUCUACCUAAAUUGGUUAAAGAUUAAGUCAUGUGGGCCGUAUUAUUAACGUAGGUCAGGCUACAAUAAUUGUGAGUUUAAUACAUCACAGCUCUAAAUAAAUGCGGUUUCUUCUGGUAUGGGGAAGCAAUUACGCUGCACAUACAUCCUGUGUAUGUUGGAACUAUAGGCCUACACUACUGGUUACGCUGCGUUGCUGCCCCACCAGUCUCUGAGCACUAAUGCUGCAGCUUUACAGUGCCCCCUAUGUCUUGUGUGUCCAUUUGUGUUUAUGGGCUAAGGGACAGCUUAUUCCCUCUGGAUCUCAUUUGUCAAAAGUUUAAGUUCUAAACUCAUUUGCAAGGUUGUGUGAGUCAGGAUUCUGCUCUUAGCACACACGCUCACCUUUAGGCUAACCUGCAUUUCAGAUUUCCCACACUGCUCGUUUCUUAGGAAUAAUUUAGGCCUAGCUGCAAACUCUCUUCCAAACACACACAAAUAGGACGGUCCCUCUGCGUUUCAUGGCCGUGAUGUGAUGACAGGCAUUGGCUACACACAUGGAAACAGUAGCCCCUACACACGCAUGCGCUCAUCUACACAGUUUGUCUGCAACACUGCCCAGGCUUG
ensembl:lncRNA